GAUGAAGAACGUAGCGAAAUGCGAUACUUGGUGUGAAUUGCAGAAUCCCGUGAACCAUCGAGUCUUUGAACGCAAGCUGUGCCCGAAGCCAUUAGGCCGAGGGCACGCCUGCCUGGGCGUCACACGUCGUUGCCCCCCCCAUCUACUCCUUCGGGAUUGCGGGGGGCGGAUGAUGGCCUCCCGUGCGCCUCGCCGCGCGGUUGGCAUAAAUGCCAAGUCCUCGGCGACGCACGCCACGACAAUCGGUGGUUGCGAAACCUCGGUUGCCCGUCGUGUGCGGUCGUCGCGCAUCGAGGGCUCGAAAAAAUUGCCGAGUUCCGGCUCGGCUUUCAACGCGACCCCAGGUCAGGCGGGGUUACCCGCUGAAUUUAAGCAUAUCAAUAAGCGGAGGA
rnacentral:misc_RNA from 1 species